rnacentral:rRNA from 1 species
CUACGGGAGGCUCCAGUGGGGAAUAUUGCACAAUGGACGAAAGUCUGAUGCAGCAACGCCGCGUGGAGGAUGACACAUUUCGGUGCGUAAACUCCUUUUAUAUGAGAAGAUAAUGACGGUAUCAUAUGAAUAAGCACCGGCUAACUCCGUGCCAGCAGCCGCGGUAAUACGGGGGGUGCAAGCGUUACUCGGAAUCACUGGGCGUAAAGAGCAUGUAGGCGGAUUAAUAAGUUGGAAGUGAAAUCCUAUAGCUUAACUAUAGAACUGCUUCCAAAACUGUUGAUCUAGAAUAUGGGAGAGGUAGAUGGAAUUUCUGGUGUAGGGGUAAAAUCCGUAGAGAUCAGAAGGAAUACCGAUUGCGAAGGCGAUCUACUGGAACAUUAUUGACGCUCAGAUGCGAAAGCGUGGGGAGCAAACAGGAUUAGAUACCCCAGUAGUC